rnacentral:lncRNA from 1 species
GGAACCUUGAUAGGGACAGCAACAUGUAAAACAGCAGUUCUUUUGACCUGGCUUCCACUGCUGGGAAAGAAUCAGACAUGAAAACAACUUACAACAUAUGUGUUGGCGACGGUGGUUUUAAAAUGGGAUACUAAGCAGUUAUUAAGAACUAUGACCACACCUGUGUGUGUGGUGGCGGCUGCUGCUUGUUCCUUGAAUGCCAAAGGAGAAAACAGGAUGACCAAGUUGUUGUUUACACUUGAUUUGUCUGUGCACUAAAACUCAGAUGUGAACCACACUGUCAUCAUGGCAGUGAGCACCUGGGAAGAAAUUGCAAGCAGAUGUCAAUAUUUAAUAUUUUUGUAUCUUAUGGAUUUCGAACAAUGUAUCACUUACUAUAGGAAAGAAUUCUUGAGGACCCCCACCCCACACGUUUCGAAAGGAGACAUAAUCAGCAAACGGCUCGAAAAGCAGCUAACUUAAGAGUAAAUAACGAUCAAGAGGUACCAUGGAAGAGACAAUGUCCUGUUGGCCAGCACAAUUAAAAUCAAUAUCACUGAGGCAGAAGACUCAGCGGCAGCUCGACUGUGUGUGGCUCCAACUCACAGAUGACUCAUGAAGAGAGAGGUGUAGUUCGGCCCAGAACCUCAGGUGUUGGCGUCUCUGUGGUGCAGAGGGAACGGCACAGCAGAGCAGCCCAAGUCAUGGUGGCCAGGCAGCAGAAAGCAGGAUGACUUCCUUUAUCACUGGGGUUUUGUUCUUGUCUGCUUUUCAUUCUGUGUGACUCCCAGGCUAUGGGCUGGCUCUGCUUACAGUGUGAAUAAGUGUUCCUUCUUGUUAAUUCUCUGGUAACUGCCCUGAAGUGUACUUGUGUCAAGGCUACCACACAGACCAUCAGCACUAACCCUCAUGAGAACAGCCACAGCCUGGCGGGGUGGUUGUGUUUGUGGAGGUGAUGGCAGUAGUGGUGUGUGAUUUCCUUACACAUUGCUUGGUUCCCUAAUUCCUUAUCAGAAUCUCAUUUGUCUCCCUAAGUUCCCCUCAGUCACUUAGCUCGGCAUGCACACACCACAGCCUAAUGGGCGUGGUUUCAUCAGAGAGCAGUACAGGGGACAGCAGGCAACUGCAGGAAAGUGUGGUGACCUCAAGGCCCGGGGACACCUAUCAUCUAGUCGAUGUCUGUCUACGAUGCUCGGGACUCCCAACCUUGCUUGCAGACCUGGGUGGGUAAACGUUCUUGAACCAAUUCCAAAUGGGAGGGGGACUUUUUGAGAUGGGCUGAACACAUAAAUAAUCUUGAGGACAUUUGUUGAUGAUAUGGGGUCAACAUGAAAUUCUAAAUGGAGACUCUCACAGAAGAAUCCAGGUUGAUGAUGGCCGAUGAUCCCGUGGUCACCAUUGUGCUAAUGAGGGGCAGUGGAUCCUAAUGGUGGGGCCCACCUGCUGGCUUUUGUGUAGUCCUUUAUCUAGCAGCAUCUGGAGGAUGGGGUUGGAUGUCCCUGUCCAUUGGUCCUGCCCUAUGGUCCUGUCCGUCUAAGCCUCUGAGCCUCCUCUUCCACAGGGCCCUGGUGCAGCCAUGCAGGGACCCUUCAUGCCCAAGAACACAGACAAAUGUGGGAAAGCCCAGGAGCUAACUUCUUUGUCUUUAGGUCACAUGUAUGUGUGGGAUGUGUGUGUGUGUGUGUGUGUGUGUGUGUGUGUGUGUGUGUGUGUGUGGUAUGUGGUGUGUAUAUGUUGUGUAUGUUGUGUGUGUGUGGUGUGUAUGUGUGUGUGGUGUGUGUGUGUGGUAUGUGUGUGUGGUGUGUGUGUGUGGUAUGUGUGUGUGGUAUGUGGUGUGUAUAUGUUGUAUAUGUGUGUAGGUUGUGUGUGUGUGUUGUUCUGUCCAUGGAGAGGACCAGUCAAAAUGAUGGGACAGGAGAAGCUGGAAAAAUCUAAACAGAAUGGAAAUCGUUUAAACUAAGUCCCUACAAACUUCUUGGAGAGGAUCACAGAGUCUAGACUUCUGCAAACAGUGGGAGAUGUGGCCUGCUGGGCUGUGUGUCUGCUUUGCUCCUGGGUUGUCCAAGCUCUGCCAGCAAGCCACUCAGGGAAGGUCUGCGAUAAGAGUCCCAGUCAGAGGUGAUGCUGUGGUUCCCAGUCUCUGGUGUACCACUAGGAGCUGGGAACCCAGGUCCAUGCUUCCUCUCAGGGCCUCCAGGAGCUGGAAGGCAAGGGCUAAUCCCAGGGUGGGGGAGAGGGAUCGGGUUUGGUUCUGAGAGCAGAGAGUAUGGAGGGGCUAGAAGAGAGAAGGCCUUCUCCGGGAGUGCACGGCUCUUUAUAGCUCCCCCUCACCCCACCCCCACCCCAUCCUUAUGGAAGGCCACAACCUUUGCUUGUCCACACUGUUUUAUUUGAUGGCGAAUGUGAAUGCAUACAUCUCACUCAGGGUGAAUGAGGGAUUAAAUACCUUCUGCAGGAAGGGAUGCCGCAGAAGGGAAGCUCAUUGGCUGAACACUCAGGGCCAAUCUAGACAGCUCAUUAGCAUGGAGAACUCCAGGUUUUUAUGCUGCAUGACCAAUUGUCAUGGUCCUCUCGGUGGGGUGUCAUGGUUACACGUCCCAGAUCAGGUAGUUUGGUAGGGAGCUGGCUCCGUGCCUACCGUUCUCAAUUCUGAGAUUCCCCGGGGUUUGAGCCUGUUCAACCUUAUCAGUUCUUCUGUCUGGUGGCAUGGUCCACUUGUCCCACAGUGGCUGAAAGGUGUUGAUGCAUGCCCAGAUUCCUAGAUGAAGGGCUUUCUCUCUCUCUCUCUCUCUCUCUCUCUCUCUCUCUCUCUCUCUCUCUCCUCCCCCAUACUCUGACAGAUCCAACCUCUUCACACAGCACAAAGCCACCACUGCAUAGAGAAUCCAGCCUUACCCGGAGGGCCAGGUUCAUGCUUGUUGGCAGGGUCAGAACCUGGUUGCCUUUGCUCGCUCCCACGGUGCCAGAUGGGCUGUGUAUAUUUGCAGCAAAUGUUCGUUAAACUUGGCCAUUACCGCCGAGGCCAGGCAGCACCUUUCUGUGGAAUGAUCUCAGCUCUCUUCAGGAAAGGGAGGUGGUGGCUUGCAACCGGCAGGAGUGUGUUCUGCAUGUGACCUUGGUAGAUGAGUUCUUACCUUGGUUCCCAGCCACAUUCCUUCCAGAGUCUGUGGCACCUGCCGCACUCACAGAUUUCCCCAUCUGUGCACAAACGCUCCUGAUUCUGGGAUAAAACCCGGUUGGCUCAGGUGCAAAUGACUGCCGUCUUACUCUUGUAGACAUCUUCUUUUCCUUUUGUCUUCAACAUUAAACUAAAAAAGGAAGAUUUUUACAGAGGUUUCCCCAGGGCCACUUUAAAUCCACCUCGUGGUCAGCACCGACUUCCUCAUUUGAGUAGAAUCCUCCUGUGAAUGGUUCUGACAAUAAUAAUAAUAAUAAUAAUAAUAAUAAUAAUAAUAAUAACAACAACAAUAACAAUAAUCUCUAUAUAAUUAAGAUUAUAAUACAAUUAUAAAUACCAUAUAUUAUAUAAUUGAUAAUAAUACUUGUUAUUGUUAAAAAUGUAGAAACUGGGAAGGUGGCUCUGUUCUGCCACAUGUGCCUGCCAUGAAACCGUGAGGAACUGAGUUUGAGUUCCCAGCAUGGGACACGCCAGCAAUAACCCCCAGUAUUUGGGGCUGGGACAUAGGGACAGGCUGCUCCUUGGAGCCUGCUGGCAAAGCCAGUCUAGCUAGCUAAUGAUUGAUAUUCAGCUCUAGUUAGAAACACUGUCUCAAAAACAGUGAAGAGGACAAGCAGGUAAAGGUGUUUGUUACCAAGCCCGACAGCCUGGCUUUGAUCUCCAGAACCCCUGUAUUGUAGUAGAAGCCUAUGGACUCCUAAAAAGCUAUGCUAUGGUUUUCACGUGCAACUGAGACUGUGCCACAUGUGACUCCCACGCAUAUAGAAUAAAUGUAAAGAAAAAUAAGGUGGAAGGACACUGAGGAAGGUCCCCUAUGCUGACCUGGUCUACACAGAGAUACUUGCAUGAUAUAUGUAUUUUUUCCUGGAACUCUCUUGGUAGAUCAGGCUGGCCUUAAACUCAGAGUCUGACCUGCCUCUGCUUCCCAAGUGCUGGGAGUAAUGGCAUGUAUCACCACACCCAACUCAACAGUGAUUCUUAAUCAGAUGUCUGCUACCCCUAGCCAUAGAACAGCCCCAUGAGAAGCUAGGCCAGUUGGAUACUUGUAUCUGUGGGUAAUUCUUAUUUAAUUAGAUUGGUUGAUGUAGCAAUACCCAAAUCACCAAAUAAAGACACAGCCUCCUGGGGACUGGGGAGAUGGCUCAGUCAGUAAAGUAUUUGCUGUACAAUUGUGAGGGUGAGGAACUGAGUUUGAUUUUCAUCACCCAUGUCAACAAGCUAGGUACAAAAUCAAAAGCAAAAAAAAAAAAAAAAAGCUCAGUGGGGUGGCCUUUAAGCCCAGGCAGAAGUAGGAGGAUCUCUGAGUUCAAGGCCAGCCUGGUCUACAGAGUCAGUUCUAGGACAGCCAGGGCUACACAGAGAAACACACUCUCUUGAAAAACAAAACAAGCCAAGUCAGGCAUGACACCAUGCACCUAUAAUCCCAGGAGUGGAGAGGUAAGCCGUUCUUGCAGACGGCUCAAAUUUGUUUCCCAGAACCCAUGUUAGGUGACUUACAACUGCUUAUUAAGUCCAGUUCCAGGGUUUUCCCUCUUUCUCUCCCUCUCAUACACACACACACACACACACACACACACAAAAUUAAAAAUAUUUUUUAAGAUAAAGUAGAGAAUGAUACCUGAUCAUACCUGAUGUUGACCUCUGCCCUCCAUCCACACAAACAGGCAUACACGCAUGUGCUCCCUACACACCUGUGCACAAACACAAACAAAGGCUCUACAGCAUUGUGAGUUGAAUUUGAAUUUCAGGUCAACAAGACUAGUCAUGUUGAAUUCACCAGCCCUCUCCUGUGUUCUAACAAAGUCCUGAGGGAAAAAGAACUGUUGCCUCAGUAGUUAAAUGGAGGCCAACAUCGCUAUCAUGGCGGUCUUGUGAGUAAAUUUUGGGCUGGAAGUAGAUAGUAUGACUAUACCCUCAAUGAAAGACCAGAUAGGAGAGCUCAAAACAAACGUGUCCUUUCUGUGGGCAAUACAUUGAUUGAUUAUAUAAAUGUGCGCGUGUGCGCGCACACACAAGCACACACACACACACACACACACACACACACACACACACACAGGCCAAGGCAUUCAUAGGUGGAAGUUGCUAUGAGUUUGUGGUGACGCGCUCCUGAAUAGGAAGCCGAGGACCUCGGAGCAAAUGAAUGGUAAACUGCCUAGGUAAUGUGUUCAACAGGCUAGAAUAUUCUGGAUUUUCAGUCUGGGGGCAGCCAUGAACAUGGCUGGGGGCAGAUUCAGCUGGGACUUAGGAGGAAGAAGGGUCUGAAGAGGAGAAGGCAGCUUGAGUAUGGGAGGAACAGACCCUGCUGGAUCCUUUGCCAGAGUCUACAUCAUCAUCCAUUUCAAGGCCUCUCAGGUGGGGGUGGCUGUCGGCCUGAUGUGGGGUUGUCACUGCUCUCUGCA